GUUUACCAGGCCUUGAAGGGCCCGUGGGGACUGCUGGAAUUCCAGGUCUGAACGGGGCUCCAGGUGGCACAGGCUUCAGAGGACUAGAUGGAGACAAAGGAGAUGCUGGACCCAAAGGAGACAGGG